GUCCACGCCCUAAACGAUGCAUAUUUGGUGUGGGUCAUUCAGUUGAUCCGUGCCGGAGCUAACGCGUUAAAUAUGCCGCCUGGGGAGUACAGUCGCAAGGCUGAAACUCAAAGGAAUUGACGGGGCCGCACAAGCGGUGGAGCAUGUGGUUCAAUUCGACGCAACGCGAAGAACCUUACCUGGGCUCGAACGGCUUCUCAACGCCGGUAGAAAUACAGGUAUCCCGCAAGGGAGUGGAGUCGAGGUGCUGCAUGGCUGUCGU
rnacentral:rRNA from 1 species